rnacentral:miRNA from 1 species
GUUUAAAGGCAUCUCUCUCUCUCUCUCUCUCUCUGUCUCUCUCUCUCUCUCACACACACACACACACACACAGAGAGAGAGAGAGAGAGAGAGAGAGAGAGAGAGAGAGAGAGAGAGCCCAAGCUUUG